ensembl:lncRNA
GGAAUAAAAUCAAUCAUAUGUCUAUGCUUUCAAAUACUUAUCUGUUUUAAUUAUUGGAGCCAACUCGAAUUGCAUCUUCUUUUUGGCAAAUGACAGUUGAAUUCAUUGUAAAGGAUACUCACAUCUUUGACUUGUUAAAAAUGAUGACAAUGGGCCUGUUUUCAGUUUGUCUCUGUUGGUUGCCAUAGUUUCCUAGGAUACAAUGACUCCCAGUUUCCAUGGGCACGCCACUGGCUAGGGCUGAAAUGUUCUCUGUCAUGAUGCAAGGGCAAAUCUGGGAGCAUCCUCUGUUUAAAACUGCAUUUUUGAAAAUUUCAAGAUGGAAGCAUUAAUGAAAAUAAAAUAACAGCAAGGACUUCUUCUGUGCAAACAAGAGGGAGGCUCUUGUUCUGUCACCCAGGCUGGAAUGUAGUGGUAAGCUCAAAACCCUGGGCUUGAAUGAUCCUCCUGCCUUUGACUUCCAAGUUGCUGGGACUAUAGAUGCAUGCCACUAUGCCUGGUUAUUUUUUUUUUUUUCAUUUAUUUUAUUUUUUUGUAGAGACAAGGUCUUGUUAUGUUGCCCAGGCUGGUCUCAAACCCCUGGCCUCAAGAAUCCUCCUACCUCAGUUUCCCAGAAUGUUGGAAUUACAGGCAUGAGACCUAAUGCCCAGCCUAAACAUUAUUUAAAGUAUACUGAAGGAUGUACAUAGGUUGUUUGCAAAUACAUAUGGAUAUGUAGGAUUAGGCAUUAAAGUUUUGCCUCAAGCAUAUGCUAGGUCUGUACUUAAGUUAUUCUAGAGCAAGGGAGAUAGAACAACUUAAAAAAAGAAAGGAAAGGAGAGGUUAGAAAUCUCACUUUGGCAUCUUCAGGGGUCUUUGAGCGAAUCUCCCAGGAUACUUUGGGACUACUUUAUAUACCACUGACAGCUUUGACUGGAUAUGGUUAGCAAGGUAAUUACUUUAUAUUUGUGCCAUUUAAGUUCAUGUCUUUUCUUGUUUGAAUAUAAUGAUUAAAAUAAUUUUUAGUGUUUAGUGUUUAUGGGAGAAAUUCUCACUUAUUCAAGACUCAGUAACUGAGAUUCAAUUGCUCUGUUCCUGACUAAGUUGAAAUGAAAGAAAAAAAACACUAAAAAACUCUAGUAGAAUAAUACAUGUGAAAAUAAAAGCCACCUGAUAUAAGUAUAGCUAACUGUAUUUGCAAUGCCACUCAUUAAAAAGGCAUUUUAAUGCUUACAGAAGCUACAUUUCAGUCUAAUACUAAUUUCUCGAACUUGAAGACUUUCUCAAAUCCAUAAAGACAACCCAGUGGGUUAUAAACUCAACACGUUUUCAAAACUCAUAGUUAUUUACUCCUUAUUACAAAGGGACUCAAGUAGUUCAGGGAAAGAGUUAACUUCAGUAUUGUUUAUAAAUAAUGUGACAAAUGCCUGUCUGCCUUUCUUUGUAUUCCAAGGGCAGGAAGAGAACCUUCACGUAUUGAAAGUGCCUUCUUUCUCGCUUGCCUGUUUUCUCACCCAUGCUUCCUUAGUGUGUGUUUUUGAAUUUUAUGUAUUUCUUACUUUAUAGGGAACUGCCACACCCCUACAACACUUUAGAUCAAAAAAUUUUGAAAGAAAUGUGGAUCU